rnacentral:rRNA from 1 species
CGGAGGGUGCAAGCGUUAUCCGGAUUUACUGGGUUUAAAGGGUGCGCAGGCGGAUAUGUAAGUCAGUGGUGAAAUCUCCGGGCUUAACCCGGAAACUGCCGUUGAUACUAUAUAUCUUGAAUGCUGUGGAGGUAAGCAGAAUAUGUCAUGUAGCGGUGAAAUGCUUGGAGAUGACAUAGAAUACCUAUUGCGAAGGCAGCUUACUACGCAGAUAUUGACGCUCAUGCACGAAAGCGUGGGGAUCAAACAGGAUUAGAUACCCUGGUAGUCCACGCCCUAAACGAUGAUUACUCGACAUACGCGAUAUACAGUGUGUGUCUGAGCGAAAGCAUUAAGUAAUCCACCUGGGAAGUACGAUCGCAAGAUUG